AUUAAUAGGACCAUUCUGUAAAUGGUUGAUAGAAGAAAAAGGGGGCUAGAGUUGUAGUAUGUUACAAUAAUUUAUACAUUUAUUGGUUAUGUUUUACUUACUUUUUUUGUAUUUUAUGUGAUUAUUUGGGGUUGUUCCAUUGAUUAAAGGAUAAAAUUAAAGUUUUAUUCUUGCUUGUAAAUUUAUUAUUUGGAUAUUUUAUAUGUAAAUUUUUGUGGGUGAUUACAAGAUCUAAAAGGUGUUAUUAUUAUUCGCAGUAUUUGGUUUUAAUUAAUCAAGGAGGUUUG
rnacentral:rRNA from 1 species